CGCGGGGUAGAGCAGUGGCAGCUCGUCAGGCUCAUAACCUGGAGGUCGGUGGUUCGAAUCCACCCCCCGCUA
rnacentral:tRNA from 1 species